AUUGAACGCUGGCGGCAGGCCUAACACAUGCAAGUCGAGCGAGCGGCGGACGGGUGAGUAAUGUAUGGGGACUGCCCGAUAGAGGGGGAUAACUACUGGAAACGGUAGCUAAUACCGCAUACUGUCGGAUAACCCAUAUGGGAGUAGCUAGUUGGUGAGGUAAUGGCUCACCAAGGCGACGAUCCCUAGCUGGUGUGAGAGGAUGAUCAGCCACACUGGGACUGAGACACGGCACAGACGCCUACGGAGGCAGCAGUGGGGAAUAUUGGGCAAUUGGCGCAAGCCUGAACCAGCAACGCCGCGUGAAGGAAGACGGUCUUCGGAUUGUAAACUUCUUUAGACAGGGACGCGGUACCUGUAGAAUAAGCCACGGCUAACUACGUGCCAGCAGCCGCGGUAAUUC
rnacentral:rRNA from 1 species